CAGCGCAGGAGCUAACGGCUCUCCACCGUGAGGUGAGGAUCAGAGCAACAGAGACGAGCCGAUUCAGUUCGGGUGAAACGGGCAAUCUCUGCGCGCAGCAACACCAAGUAGGCCGGUAUUGAGGUGGUUCCGCUGAGCCGGCGGGUAGGUGGCACCGAGCCGUGUGGGCGACCCACGGCCCAGAUGAAUGACGGUCACGCGGCGGCGCUCGAAAGGGCGCCGGCGUGCACAGAAUCCGGCGUAUCGGCGCGCUUCACAC
rnacentral:RNase_P_RNA from 1 species